rnacentral:rRNA from 1 species
UACAGAGGGUGCAAGCGUUGUUCGGAAUCAUUGGGCGUAAAGGGCGUGUAGGCGGUCUGUUAAGUCAUGUGUGAAAUCCCUCGGCUUAACCGGGGAACUGCGUCUGAUACUGGUUGGCUUGAAUCCGGGAGAGGGAUGUGGAAUUCCAGGUGUAGCGGUGAAAUGCGUAGAUAUCUGGAGGAACACCGGUGGCGAAGGCGGCAUCCUGGACCGGUAUUGACGCUGAGGAGCGAAAGCGUGGGGAGCGAACAGG